UACGUAGGGGGCAAGCGUUAUCCGGAUUUACUGGGUGUAAAGGGAGCGUAGACGGAUGGGCAAGUCUGAUGUGAAAGGCCGGGGCUCAACCCCGGGACUGCAUUGGAAACUGCCCGUCUUGAGUGCCGGAGAGGUAAGCGGAAUUCCUAGUGUAGCGGUGAAAUGCGUAGAUAUUAGGAGGAACACCAGUGGCGAAGGCGGCUUACUGGACGGUAACUGACGUUGAGGCUCGAAAGCGUGGGGAGCAAACAGG
rnacentral:rRNA from 1 species